rnacentral:rRNA from 1 species
GUGGGGAAUAUUGCACAAUGGGGGAAACCCUGAUGCAGCGACGCCGCGUGAAGGAAGAAGUAUCUCGGUACGUAAACUUCUAUCAGCAGGGAAGAAAGUGACGGUACCUGACUAAGAAGCCCCGGCUAACUACGUGCCAGCAGCCGCGGUAAUACGUAGGGGGCAAGCGUUAUCCGGAUUUACUGGGUGUAAAGGGAGCGUAGACGGCAAGGCAAGUCUGAUGUGAAAGGCGGGGGCUCAACCCCCGGACUGCAUUGGAAACUGUCUGGCUUGAGUGCCGGAGGGGUAAGCGGAAUUCCUGGUGUAGCGGUGAAAUGCGCAGAUAUCAGGAGGAACACCGGUGGCGAAGGCGGCUUACUGGACGGCAACUGACGUUGAGGCUCGAAAGCGUGGGGAGCAAACAGGA